rnacentral:rRNA from 1 species
UACAGAGGGGGCAAGCGUUGUUCGGAAUUACUGGGCGUAAAGGGCGCGUAGGCGCCUUCUAAGUCGAACGUGAAAUCCCCGGGCUCAACCCGGGAACUGCGUCCGAUACUGGAAGGCUUGAAUCCGGGAGAGGGACGUGGAAUUCCAGGUGUAGCGGUGAAAUGCGUAGAUAUCUGGAGGAACACCGGUGGCGAAGGCGACAUCCGCGGCCGGUAUGACGCUGCGGGCG